ACCUCCCAGAUGAGCAGGAAAGUUGAAACCCUCACGCUUCCUCAAGGAUUCACCACUGUCGCUGCCGCCUCAGAGGCUGACGCUACCAUAGAGAGUCGGGGAAAGAACUACGGAAGUUGCGCGAGGAAUGCUGGGAUACUGGAGGUCGGCCCAGCGCUUCCUGCGGGUUUAGCGCGUUUUCCGAGUUACAGAGGCUGGAGUGCACUGGUGUAAUCAUAGUUCACUGCAGCCUUGACCUCCUGAGCUCAGGUAAGCCUCCCUCCUCAGCGUCCCUGGUGACUGAGACUACAGGUUCAGGCCACCAUGCCCAGCUAAUUUUUUGUAAAGAUGGGUUCUCACCAUGUUGCCCAGGCUGGUCAGGAACCCCCAGGCUCAAGUGAUCCUCCUGCUUUGGCCUCCCAAGGUGCUGGGAUUACAAACAUACGCUACCAUGCCCAGCCUCAAAAUUUUUUUCCCCUAAAAGUUUCAUUAGGGAUUCUCCUGAAACAGAUUUUGAGGAUCUUUAAAAAAAGUGGACUCUAACAAUGCAGGCAGAUUCUGGUUACUUGCAGCUAGCUCUAAACCCCAUUGUAAUACAUGUUUGGGGUUAUUUUUAUCAUUGUGGUAAGAAGACUUAACAUAAUAUCUACCCUCUAACAUUUUUAAGUGCACAAUACAGUAUUGUUAACUAUAGGCACCCUAUUGUACAGCAGAUCUCUGGAACGUAUUCAUUUUGUGUAACUGUAGCUUUAUAACCAUUAAACAGGAAUUCCCUAUUUCCCCCUCCUUUAAUCCCUGGCAACCACCAUUUCUAUUCUCUGUUUCUAUGAGUUGGACUAUUUUGGAUUCCUCUUUUAAGUGAGAUCAUGCAUUAUUUGACCUUCUGUGACUGGCUUAUUUCACUUAGCAUAAUGUCCUCCAGAUUCAUCCAUAUUGUUGCAUAUAGCAGGAUUUCCCUUUUUGAAGCUGAAUAAUGUUCCAUUGUGUGUAUAUACUACAUUUUCUUUCCAUUUAUUAGUUGAUGGGCAUUCUGAUUGCAAAUAAUACUACAAAAAUACUGCAUAUUCAUGAAAGUACAGAUAUUUCUUUGAGAGCCUGAUUUCAAUUCCUUUGGAUAUAUACCCCAAAGUGAGAUAAUUCAAUCAUAUGAUUGUUCUAUUUGUAAUUUUUUAAGGAAACUCUAUACUGUUUUCCAUAGAAGCUGCACCAUUUAUUUUUAGACUUCCAUCAGCAU
rnacentral:lncRNA from 13 species